rnacentral:rRNA from 1 species
CCUACGGGUGGCAGCAGUAGGGAAUAUUGCUCAAUGGGGGAAACCCUGAAGCAGCCACGCCGCGUGGAGGAUGAAGGUUUUCGGAUUUUAAACUCCUUUUUUUAGAGAAGAUAAUUACGGUAUCUAACGAAUAAGCACCGUCAAACUCCGUGCCAGAUGCCGCGGUUAUACGGCGGGUGCAGGCUUUACUCGGAAUCACCGGGCGUAACGCGCGCGUAGGCGGGAUAGCAAGUCAGAUGUGAAAUCCUAUGGCUUAACCAUAGACCUGCAGUUGAAACUGGUAGUCUAGAGUAUGGGAGAGGUAGGUGGAAUUCGUGGUGUAGGGGUAAAAUCCGUAGAGAUCAAGAGGAAUACUGAUUGCGAAGGCGACCUGCUAGAACAUAACUGACGCUGAUGCGCGAAAGCGUGGGGAGCAAACAGGAUUAGAUACCCUUGUAGUC